rnacentral:rRNA from 1 species
UACGUAGGGUGCAAGCGUUGUCCGGAAUUAUUGGGCGUAAAGAGCUCGUAGGCGGUUCGUCGCGUCGGCUGUGAAAUCCCGAGGCUCAACCUCGGGUCUGCAGUCGAUACGGGCGGACUGGAGUUCGGCAGGGGAGACUGGAAUUCCUGGUGUAGCGGUGAAAUGCGCAGAUAUCAGGAGGAACACCGGUGGCGAAGGCGGGUCUCUGGGCCGAUACUGACGCUGAGGAGCGAAAGCGUGGGGAGCAAACGGG